UUCAUUAUGUCUUUGAUUCAUUUUGCAGUAAUUUUUUAACCUGGUGCAAGGUCAGUCCGGAUUGAUUCUUCUUCUCAUUAUAUUUUCCUGCCUUUCUGCAUGCCUGCAAAUGCCUUUGAAAGCUAGACAUUGGGAAGUUUCCUUACUAGGUGGAGGGCAAGCUGGUGAGGCUCUGCUCAGCUCCUACACCACGUAUUGCUCACCCAGUCCCCAUCCCCAGCAGGAGGAGAGUGCAUUAGGAGUGAAUGUCCGAGCUCCUGUGGGGGACCCAGGCUUCCCACCCCAGAGGUGCACUGAAAGACAUGGCUCCACGGUACAGCUUGCUCCUUCAGCCUGGGUUCUGUCACUCUGAGGUGAGCGGGUUAAGAGUAUAAAUCCAUCACAUCCCAGUCAUAUGCAGCUGCCACCGAGGCUGAGCUCUCUCCCCUACAGCACACACUAGAGAGGACUCCACUCCUAACCUCAUUCCAGCUGCGGCAGAGCCCACACCCUUGCAGCAUGCAACUGAGGGCCCCGCCUCUACCAGACCCCGGAUGGAAACCACAAAUGGGUCCUGGCCCUGGGGGCUUCUCUGACUGGCUCUUACUUCAGAAGCACACAGACAACAUCUAGCUUCCUGUGUUGGGAGUCCUAACGGUUGUGAUUAUGGGAUUCAAGCCUCGACAUCCCACUCUACUGACAGUAUCAAGUCGCGGGUUUCAUGAGGUGUCCAGGACAGAGGUUUACAGGGAGGCAUCACAUGAGAAGGUGAGGAUCAGAGGAGAUCGCCCUAGGGUCUGCCCAAGACCACCACUCGCUGUAGCUGGCAAGGCAAAAGGAAUGUGUCUACCUGAUGCAGGGACACAGGAGGCCCCUGAGGAGGAGAAGGGCCAAGACACCAGCUUGGAAAUGCAAGCAUGGCUAUGACUAAGGCGAGAGCAGGGAUAUUUCCUUGCCUGACAGAAGCAAGGCCCUCUGUCCAAAGGGGAAGGAAUCAGAGAAACAGCUACUCCCAGCUUAGAGAGCACAAGUCAGGCAUGGAGGUGCCUCUCUAUAACCCCAGCACUCUGGGAGGCAAUCCCCCAGUACCUAAAGGAAAAAUAAAAACCAUAAAUGCCUCUGACAAGCCACACAUCACCUGGUUGUGGUGGCAGAAAGCCCUGGGCAGCCCAGGUCUGCAGUGAUGCUGAGCGCUCUGGAAACGCGCCCCUCUCAGACACAAAUGAGGGCUGGAUGCCGCCACCACAAAGGCAUGUUGGGUCCUGUCGGGACUGUGAGCUCAUGAUGUCCCCUUCCCAGCCCCAGGACCUGGGAAGUUCUGUGUGAAGGAGGACGGACAGGUGAAUAGAUGGACUGGUGGCUGACACACAGAUGAGUGGAUGGAUAGAGACAGAGAGGGGAAAGGACAGGACUUGUCAUGAAGGAUGGACCGACAGAAGGAUCCACGACCCCAGCACACGCGUAGGAAAAGCACUUUCCAAAGCUAGGCCAUGAUUCCACUGUUUUCCUCAGCACAAGUCAUCAUUGAAGACAGGGGUCUAGUUAAGGGCUGAUUUGCUUUGAGAGAAAGGAGGCAUUUCAACCUGUCUGCACAGACACUAUUGUGUAAUUAAGAUAAUAAAACUGAGCCGUAUCUGCACCUGGGACUGUUUACUCUGCCAAUUUUUUCAUCAAGAACAAAGAAACUAUAGGUCACAGGCAGGCAACUUGCUCAGAUUUCAUGCCUUACCAAGAGGUAAUCUAUAAUACAGAAGGAUGAAAAUGCCCUGAAAGCCAC